AUCUCUCUGUCUUGACGAGACGAAUAUGAGCCACGCGACGCUGGCACUUGUAGGGAGUGCUAUGAGAAAGCCAGCGAGACCGAGAAAGAGCUCAAACGCGAGAUCGAAGAUCUCACGUCCAAAGUCCCCUUCCUCAGAUUCUGGACUCCCUUCGAUCAUUAUCACCAUCGCUUUACUCCUUGCUUCUCUGACAUCGUUUUAGCCGCUUCCGAUGACGAUUCCGGUGUGGCCUCCACUUGGAUUGAAGAAGUUCGGGACCCUAUCUUACCUUCCUCCACUCUGUCUUGUACAAUUGGGAAAAGAAGUUGAUUACCUUAUUUGCCAGGCAUGGAUUCCUUGCUUAGAAUUCUCUGUUGAGGUUAUUUCUACCUCUUUCUUUCUUUUUCCUUCUCAACCCAUUUUUGUGUGGUGUGUGUGGCUUUUGCACUUCAACUCUAGUAUGAAAUUGUUUUUCAAUUUUUUUGUUUUUUUUUGUUAAUAACCCAAUAAGUUGUGUGUCCAAAGAUGCUGCUCUGCUUCAAAGGAAAAGGAUAGUAUUGUGCAAGCCUCGUUGCCUAUUUAUUUAUUUUUUGAAUGUGUAUGAGAAUAAACAAUCAAAAGUUAAUCGUAAUGUUAGCUUGGUUCUUCCUUUGAAUGACAAAAAAAGAAGAAAUUGAACUCUAGUUUGACAAAUAAUUCAAGUAGAAGAAAGAAUUGUACCUUACUGCUACUCUUAUAGAACUCUGUUUUAUUUUUCUACUGGGGUUUAUUAAGUUAAAUUCUGCAAUUUAAUCAGUAAUGGACUCUGGAGAUUGGUUUAAGAAUAUAAUUAGCUUAAAGAAAGGGAAGGAUGCAAUUUAUUCUUUACAAUUUGUUGCUUUGUAACACAGAGAAGUUGAAGUUGAAUUUGAAAAGUGCAAAUGAAUAUAAAUAGUUGAGGCAAAGCGAUUGCUAUUUAAUUUCUGGGGUUGAUGAUGUUGAACAGUUUUGCAUUCUAAUGAUUGCUUUUGCAUGGGUUAUUGUGGAGAUUUAUUUUUGUGUACGAAGAGCAUUUGUUUUGUAUAUAGAAAACAUUUAUUUUUGUAGAAUCCUCUGUUUUGGAAAUUCAGGGUUUUUGUAUGUAAUAUUUAAUUUAGAUGGAUUAUACUUGGUUGGUAUGAAUUUA